rnacentral:rRNA from 1 species
GUUAUGCCUGUUUGGUUUUAGGUUGGGGUGACCACGGAGUAUAAAACAACCUCCAUGAAAAAAGGACCAAAAAUCCUUAUUAGAGAAAGACAUUUCUAAAAUUAAUAAAUUAAUUUUUAAUGAUCCGAUAUUCGAUCAACGAACCAAGUUACCCUGGGGAUAACAGCGCAAUCCACUUCAAGAGCUCCUAUCGACAAGUGGGUUUACGACCUCGAUGUUGGAUCAGGGUAUCCUAGUGGUGCAGCAGCUACUAACGGUUCGUUUGUUCAACGAUUAAAACCCU